GAAUCUCAUUCUUUUGCACCUGAGUUCCAUGGGAAGGGUCUGCUGAGCUGGGCCAAAGCUCCUUGCAGAAAUUCUUUUGAGAGAAUCAGUUUUAUUUUCUUCAAAUCUCGACAGCGCUUAAGGCAAAAGGCAGAUGUCUGAAGGUCUUCCUGGCUCUUGAUUUUCAAAGAAACUUUCUGUUACCCAGCAGCACAUUCUUUACAAAACUCUCCUCCCGGGUUUCAGUCAGACAGUGGAAUAGAUGUGAUUGCUCAUAACAUAGUCAUUAAAACUGCUUAUCACUUUUUCCCCAGUUUUUCGAGACAGGGUUUCUCUGUAUUGUUUUGGAGGCUAUCCUGGAACUCGCUUGGUAGACCAGGCUGGCCUCGAACUCACAGAGAUCCGCCUGCCUCUGCGUCCCGAGUGCUGGGAUUAAAGGCAUGCUCCACCAGUGCCUGGCUUGCUUAUCACUUUUAUGGCCUUUAAUUUGUUAGCCAAGGAUAACUUGCACUUGAAGAAUCCUGUUGUGAUGCUCGCACACUCUUCCUUUGAAAGACCAGGUAUACAUCUAAACUGCUAAGUUAAAAUUGGUUACAGUCAGGCUGGAGGGCUCUGAGUAAAACAUCCCUUCACAGUCUCACAGCUUGAAUCCAGUUCUCCAGACAGAUCCUGCACUAAUGUCAUUGUAGCUAUACUAAGUACAGAUUAAUUACAGGGAAAAGCCUUACCUAGCCACCUAUGUGCUUAAGGCAAGUAACUAAAGACAAAUUUUGUCUGCUGAGAUCUACUAAACAGACAGCCCUCAAAUACUUAGAGAUCUAGAGAAUAUGGCAUUUAAAAUGUUUUAUUAGAAAGCUUCCCAUAAAAGAGAGACAGGCCAGCAGCUGGCAUCGGCUCAUUCCCACCAAAGAAGACUGCAGGACACUGAAGACUCCACCCACAAAAGUGGCAACGCUAGCCACUGAGAAUCCUGCCUUUCACCUCAACAGCUACAAAGGACUUUUCAGACCAUGGACAAGAGGACAGUGGAAUCUACUUUCUCCACGUUGCUUGGGUCAACAAUAAGCAAGUCUUCCUACAAGUCCUAAUCCACAGGUCUCAUGCUAUCAACAGAAGGCAGGUGUCCUUAAAGCCUCUGCCCUCAACAACUAUAAAGGACCUUGAAGGUGGCUGUCCAUGUGGCCAGAUAGCAAGUCCCUCUCAUUCUCUAAUAGUUAAUUCAGCUAAAAUUUUAUCCUUUUCAAGAACUCUGAUGCAGUUUGGCGGCUAGCAGGUUUUGAUAUAAAUUUUACCAUUCCUUUGUUUAAAAAGAUGUUUUAAGGUAUAAAGUUUAUGUAAGAACAUAAAACCUUAAGAUGUAUGAAUCUAAAAGUGUUUUAACAAACUUAAGGUGUACAAAUGCAAGUUAUCAGAUUUCUUUCUCGACAUGCUACUGUUCAUAGUCUUAACAUUAGUCACUAAAGUUCUGAUAAGCUAUUAAUCCAACUCUGACAGGGUACUAAACAACAUACUAUACCACUAUAUGAUAACUACAAGGUCAAGAUUAAGGUGCUUUUCAUUGUGCUAAAGAUAGCUGACAGUUUUAAAAGUGUUAAUGCUUUAAACCAUAUAAUUUCUAAUAUGAGUAUUCUGCUAAUAUAUCUAAUAUUUAUGUUUUUAGGGAGCCGAAUUGGACCCACCCAAACAGGUCAGAUUCACUCCAGAUAAAUAUUCAACCUUUCCCUGGUCCUGGGACUCCCUUCCCUCAUCUUGGGACCCCCUGGGGAAUCCCUCCCUCAUUUUACAAUUCUGCCCUCAAGUACCAGGACCUCAGAAAAAAAUUUUUUAUACACUUAACCUUGUCCUCCACUCUGCCAACAUCUUGCCAGGUCUAAAGAGGUGCCAGAGUUUCAUACAGCCAGGACUUUAAUGAGACAACUAGCUACCUAGGAUAUGGUGGCACCCCAGAUUUCUCAGGUCCCCCAAAGAUGGUUGACACCCCAAGUCAGCAGGAAGUAGUCUUGAGAACUCUAUGCUCUUAUUUCCACUCUGCCAUGCAAACUCCCCACCUUUUAAAUAAUAAGAGAUGGGAUUGUUGGAACCAGGCAUUAUGCUGACCCUGUACCCUGAUAAAGGGCAGGACACACAUAUCAGCAUUUAGGCAGGUACUUACUUAGGCAGCUCAAAGGGCCCUGUGCGUCAUGGCUGUAUCACCGUUAUGGGGUUGCAUAAGGACUCAGUACACAUGUGCAAGCUUCCCCUUUUAAGCGAGCAUCUCCACAUGUUCCCUCUCCCUCUCCCUUCUC